GCAUCACUGGUGUUCGGGUUGUCAUGCCAAUGGCACUGCCCGGUAGCUAAAUGCGGAAGAGAUAAGUGCUGAAAGCAUCUAAGCACGAAACUUGCCCCGAGAUGAGUUCUCCCUGAGACUAUAAGUCUCCUGAAGGAACGUUAAAGACGAUGACGUUGAUAGGCCGGGUGUGUAAGCGCAGCGAUGCGUUGAGCUAACCGGUACUAAUGAACCGUGAGGCUUAACCUUACAACGCCGAAG
rnacentral:rRNA from 1 species